GUCCCAGCAUCCUUCGGGGACAUACGAUAAAAUUGGAGCGAUACAGAGAAGAUUAGGAUGGCCCUGCGCAAGGAGGACAGGCACAAAUCGAAAAAUGGUCAAAAUAAAA
rnacentral:snRNA from 1 species